AACUCGGCUGCAUGAAGCUGGAAUCGCUAGUAAUCGCGGAUCAGAAUGCCGCGGUGAAUACGUUCCCGGGUCUUGUACACACCGCCCGUCACACCAUGGGAGCCGGGAAUGCCCGAAGUCAGUGGCCCAACCGCAGGGAGGGAGCUGCCGAAGGCAGGCCCGGUGACUGGGGUGAAGUCGUAACAAGGUAAC
rnacentral:rRNA from 1 species